UCGGAACGUGCCCAGUCGUGGGGGAUAACGCAGCGAAAGCUGUGCUAAUACCGCAUACGAUCUACGGAUGAAAGCGGGGGAUCGCAAGACCUCGCGCGAUUGGAGCGGCCGAUAUCAGAUUAGCUAGUUGGCGGGGUAAAAGCCCACCAAGGCGACGAUCUGUAGCUGGUCUGAGAGGACGACCAGCCACACUGGAACUGAGACACGGUCCAG
rnacentral:rRNA from 1 species